CCCGUCACUGAAAUCACAAUGCAUAUAUAUACUCAAACACAGACAGAUAAGAAUAUUAUGACUAAAUCUAUUUACCAGAAUUAUGACUAAAGCAUUAAUUUCCUCUGUAAUGUGAUAUACAUAUGACUAAUAUUAACCAAACAUUUGUUUUUUUUCAACUAAGCACAUAACUUGUAUUAUCUUAUAGCCAUAUAGGCAUUAUUUUGACACACUCAUCUCUGACCGAUGACAGAAUUCUUCCUGAUUGUUACACUGAAACAUGUUUUUUUCUGUGAAACUGCUUUGUAUUGUGAAAAGUGUUAUUUACAUAAACUUGAAUAUGGCAAAUGCCAUGCAUGCUCAUUAAUUUGACAUUUUUAGGCUUGUUUCUAAGACAUUUGAUCACAAAUCACAGCAAGUGACCUUCUUCAGCCAUGGCUCCAAGUGAAAAAUGUUACAUGUAUGCAUGCACUAACAUAAUACAAUGGGUACAAAAUCGAUCACUAACUUUUCAAGCGUAUGAUUUGAGGAUGACGUUAGAUAGCUUUAUUAAAACGCUAUCCGACCUAUUACGGGCUUUUGUUAGGAGACAUAGGCGUCAGUUGAGUCCCAGACAGUGUGUUCGACUCCCCAGAGAGUUCAGGUACUCUCUCAGACACAAUCUGUCUGCUUCUGUCGGGAAGCAACAUCAACGAAAAGGAGUAAUAUGCACCUAAAAUGGCAUGCUGUUGCUUUAAAAGACACAUCUCUAUACGUCCCUGUUAAAUUCGAACGCAAAUUCCUAUUGUAAGGGUUCGAAGAAUGUCUAUUAUGACAUCAUCAGUGGAAUGAAUAAGUAUUCUGCCCCAAUUCCGAUCACACCUGCCACUGAAAACACGCGCAAACGCAUAUCGAUUGCACGCUAUACGUGCUCCUGCUGGUGAGAUGAGCAAGCGUCUAGAGCAGCAGACUGACUCUGUGCAUGUUAAGAUCUCUCUGCUCGUUCAUUGCUUCAUGGUCACGCUACUAGGUAAAGCAGGGGCCGUGCAGGGGGAGAUGCCAUUUUCAGCAACACACGCCAAUUGUGCGCUAAAUUCCUUGCUGACAGUCUCCAGUCUAUUAAUGAUCAUCAAUGUGUGGCUGAUCAUCCUGCUGCCCGAUGCUUUUCCUUUGCUUUAAAAGGGUGCAAGUUAAACACGUGGAACUGGAUAUGGAGCUGGCAGUUUCUAUUUUCCUAGAAGUCAUUUCCAAAUAUAGAAACUAGGAAGGGAUGUUCUUAGAAACCCCCGAGUCGUUAUGGCCGAGUUUACUUGUUUUGUCAGCUAAAUCGCUAAGUGUUCGUGUUAGUUGAACGGAAGACCUAAAUUACAUUAAUGAUGCAACUCUAUAUGUAUAUGCAGAUGUCGCUCUUGUUCUGCGCUGAACGUCACAGAUACGUCAGUCUUUGAAUAAGUGAAAACGUGAUUUAUUAAUCUGCAAUCAAACCUGUAGGAUUACAGCAUUGAUUUCUUGCUCUUUGUCGCCCUCUGUUGCUGAGAUUUUGACGUUCCUUUUUGCUAAAGAUGAAGAUACCGUGACGUCACACACAGGCAACCUUCCGGGUUCCUCGGAUUAGAUGCUGCUGCUGAUUCCAUGUGUACCGUAUAUAUAAGCAUAUUAACGACUUAUUUGUCAUACUUACCGUUUUAUAAUAAAUAUUUAAUUCAUUGUGCAUUUGAAUUUGAACAUACUCAUCAGACCCACACAAUUUAAGAUACAAUUUCACCACAUUAUAAGUAGAUAUUCAUUAGAUCUAAUCGCAGCUUUUUUUCUUCUUUCUUUUUUGUAUGCAGCUCAGUCAGUCGUUUGGAUCUACGGAUAAUGUCGGAAAUAACCUCUCGAAUUUAAAAUUAU
ensembl:lncRNA